UACGGGGGGAGCAAGCGUUGGUUCGGAUUUACUGGGCGUUGAAAGGGCGCAGUAGGCGGCGUGACAAGUCACUUGUGAAAUCUCCGGGCUUAACUCGGAACGGGUCAAGUGAUACUGCUGUGGCUAGAGUCCGGUAGGGGAGCAUGGAACUUCCUGGUGUAGCGGUGAAAUGCGCAGAUAUCAGGAAGAACACCCGUGGCGAAGGCGGCUCUCUGGGACGGUACUGACGCUGAGACGCGAAAGCGUGGGGAGCGAACAGG
rnacentral:rRNA from 1 species